rnacentral:lncRNA from 10 species
AGUCACAGAGCAGGCAGCUUUCCCGAAAAUAAAAUGAGAAUCCCCAGGAAACAGGGAAAAUGGAAGGCGGGCGGCUCUGCAAGUCCGACCUGGGUGCCCCAGAGAGCUGCUCCGGGAAAGACGUUUACCUGCUGCCCAGAGCUGGGACUGCAGACCCUGAUUGGCGAGGGCUUGGAGAGUAGCUGAGAACCUUCCCUUCAGCUACUGAAGACCAGACAGGGCUUUCUGUAUCACGCUGCCUGACGAUGAUGAGGGUGCAGUGACUAAGAGUGCAGAUGAAAGGCCCAGCUCUCCAACCAGGUGGAUGGAUUUGCAAGGAGCUUCUAUCUGGGCGUGGUGGCUCAUGCCUGUAAUCCCAGCACUUUGGGAGGCUGAGGCGAGCGAACCACCUGAGGGUGGGAGUUCAAGACCAGCCUGACCAACAUGGAGAAACCCCAUCUCUACUAAAAAUACAAAAUUAGCCGGGCAUGGUGGCAGGCACCUGUAAUCCCAGCUACUCGGGAGGCUGAGGCAGGAGAAUCGCUUGAACCCGGGAGGCGGAGGUUGCAGUGAGCCAAGAUCGUGCCAUUGCACUCCAGCCUGGGCGACAGAGUGAGACUCCAUUUCAAAAAAAAAAAAAAAAAAGAAAGGAGCUUCUGAGAGAUGGGGUCUCCACCUCCCCAUCAGAUACUCCAGGGCUUUGGAAAGAGCUGGCUGGCUCUUGGGCAUCACCUCAACUUUCCCCUAGGUGACGCUGCCAAGGAACUGUGGCACUGUCCCUACUUCCCACAUCCAGCUCCACGGUUCCACCUCCCACCCCCCUUGCCUGUGGAAGCUCAAAAUAAGCUUUCUAGAGCAUGAUGUUUCUUGUGUGAGGGGUCAUCUGAGGUUGUAAAGACUGAAGCUCUUCACCAGAGAAACGCAGGAAGCAUCCCGCAGCUAAGUGAGGCAAUGUCUGGGGCACGCCAGGCCACGCCAGGUAGCUCAGAGGGGAGGAACGCCCCUGGCUACACAGCCUGCGUCUGAGCCCUGCUGGUGGCCAGGCCAUCUGCUGGGCUCCAUCCCUGGGCGUCUUUCCAGCCUGUCUUCAGUGCUCAGGGCGUCUUUAGCAGAGCAUAAAGUGGCAUUUCACUUGUCCCUCUACCCAACAGCAAGGAAGUGGACCUCUCUUAGGCUUUUCUUGGAAGACGAAAGGAAAGAAAGAACGUUCUCAAUGUGAGAUCCUACAGGACCACUGUACUGGGUCGAAUGGCGUCCCCCCCCACCAAAUUCAUGUCUGCAUGGAACCUACAAAUGUGACUUUGUUUGGAAAGAGGGUCUUUGCAGAUGUAAUUAAGAUGUACUCCACAGGCCUGGGGAGAUCAAGGCUAACAGCAUGUUGUAUGAGGAUGGCCCCAGUCCAAUGACUGAUGCCCUUAUAUGAGGGAAAUCUGGACACAGACACACAGAGAAGGCCACGCGGUGGUGGAGGCAGAGAUGGGAGAGAUGUGUCUACAAGCCAAGGAGCGAGCAGGACCGCCGGCCACCACCAGGAGCUGGCAGGGGCAAGGAAGUCAUUCUUCCCUGGGGGCUUCAGAGGGAGCACGGUCCCAGUACACCUUGAGUGUUGGCCUUCUGGCCUCCAGAGCUGUGAGAGAAUCCAUUUUGGUUGUUUGAAGCUGCUGAGUUUGUGGCGUUUUGUUACGGCUGUCCCAGGAAAGGAAUACAAUCACCAAAUGUCAAACACAGGGCAGCUGGGAAAAACAAGAGGGAAAUGCAUGAGGCACGUAAAGAAAAGACUUGGAAGAGACCAAGGAGGGACAGGAAGGAAUGCUUCCUCAACUUCCUCCUCGCACCCGGACAGGAAGCCGGAGACCUAGUGGCUGAGCCUUGGAAGAAGCGGCUACCUAUUCCCCCCCACAAGAGCGGGUGGCCAAGGGACACUAAAAAAGGCAGUGAAUAGCUAGAGGACCACUCUUGAAAAUCAGCCUGCCUUCCUCCUGGUGCCAGCUCCUGUCCCUCCGGCCUCCUUUUCAUAGAAUUCUACAACAGGAGGAAACAGAGAGGUCAUCUCCUCCACCUUCACCAAGUUUCCAGAACGGAUGGGUUAGAGGGAUCUGGCGUUCUCUGAGGCUUCGGGCCAAACCUUGGACAUUGGGCUGGCCAGAGAUCUUGCUGGGGUUGCCUUGGGAAUUGUAUAUCCAUUGGGAGCACUAGCCCUGAACACCUGGGGCUCCCCACCUGCUAGGAGCUGGGAGGACUCUGGUGUUCCCUGCAACCCCCCAGGGUCUGGGUGGACGGAAUGGCAGCCCAGGACUGUUCCCCAGGCUGACCUGGACUCUGAUGAGAGCCAAGAGUGGACCUAGCUGUCAUUUAGAUCCCUGGGGGAGCCUUCACAGUAGCUGCCAAGCAGAGGUCCUGGCACUGGGGAGGGUUCUCACACGUAGGAGGGGCAGUACUUAAGCAAGUAACAGUGGAGAGGGCACUGGAUUUGACAUCAGCUGAGAGGUGGUCCGUUUCUGCUUCUCUCACUGCUUAUCUGUGAUCUGAGGCAAGCCUAAACUCCUCUACAGCUUAGUUUACUCAUCUGGAAAGUGUGGUAUAUUUUAUUUUACCUGCCUUACAUCUGAGGCAUGGAGGAAGGACGGAAUGAGAUCACCUAUUAAAAUGCAUUUUGAAAAAACAAAAGUGCUAUUUAUGCAAACACAUGGUACUAAAAAUAAAAGAUGCCUGUUUGCUUCUGGAAGUAAAAGUUGUGAAUGAUGCCGGGCGCUGUGGCUCACACCUGUAAUCCCAGCACUUUGGGAGGUCAAGGCGGGUGGAUCACAAGGUCGAGAGAUCGAGACCAACCUGGCCGACAUGGGGAAACCCCAUCUCUACUAAAAAUACCAAAAAAAUUAGCUGAGCACGGUGGCACACGCCUGUAGUCCCAGCUACUCAGGAGGCUGAGGCAGGAGAAUCACUUGAACCCGGGAGGCGGAGGUUGCAGUGAGCCGAGAUUGCGCCAUUGCACUCCUGCACUCCAGCCUGGUGACAGAGCGAGACCAUCCG